CUUGGUCAUUAGAGGAAGUAAAAGUCGUAACAAGGUUUCCGUAGGUGAACCUGCGGAAGGAUCAUUAUCGAAAUUAUUGGUGAGGGUUGUAGCUGGCCUUUCGAGGCAUGUGCACGCUCGAGCCCUUAAUCCACUUUACACCUGUGCACUUAAUGUAGGUCGCCCUUAAAAAAGGUGACCUAUGUCUUAUCAUCAACCCAUCGUAUGUCUCAUAGAAUGUAAUCGAUAUCCUCGCCCUAAAAAAGCGUUGAUAAACUUAUACAACUUUCAACAACGGAUCUCUUGGCUCUCGCAUCGAUGAAGAACGCAGCGAAAUGCGAUAAGUAAUGUGAAUUGCAGAUUUUCAGUGAAUCAUCGAAUCUUUGAACGCACCUUGCGCUCCUUGGUAUUCCGAGGAGCAUGCCUGUUUGAGUGUCAUUAAAUUCUCAACUCCAAGGGUUUCACGACCUUUCGGAGAUUGGACUUGGAGGUGCUGGCCGCAUAUUGGUCGGCUCCUCUCAAAUGCAUCAGCGGAAUUCAACCUUUGGCUUCCGGAUGUCAGUGUGAUAAUCAUGUUGCGCUGUCGUUUGAUCCCUCAGAGUCCGCUUAUAAUGGUCUUCGGACAAAAUCAUCAUCAAAUUUGACCUCAAAUCAGGUAGGACUACCCGCUGAACUUAAGCAUAUCAAUAAGCGGAGGA
rnacentral:rRNA from 1 species